rnacentral:lncRNA from 1 species
GCCCCUCCCACCCCACAGUCCCCGGAGCCACCACGCAAGGCAUCUUCAGGCCCCAGGCUCGGAUGGGAGAUCCCCAGGAUGCCAAGCGGAGGACAUGGGGGCGGAGGGUUAUAUUUUUACGCGGAGGCUCCCUGAAUCCCACAUGUUACCAGCUCUGGCUUCAUGAAUGCGAUGAAUUCCUUAUGGGUCAAGGUUAUUGUUGAGAAAUUAAAGUACUCUGCAGAGAACAGCACCAGCCUUAGUAACAGUCACAGCUUCGCUCCGCGGUUUCCUUGGUUGCUGAACACGUGUGAUGUGCGAUUACUCUUCUGUCAGGACGUGAUGGCUACUCAGCCUUCCAGCUUCAUUGCUUUGGCUUAAACUACAGCAGACUAGGAACUUGGCUUGUUUGUUUGAUUUUGUUUUGAAACCUAAAUGCAGCCUUGAUAACGUCAGUGUUGCCAGACUUGGUGGAGGAGGCGGGGCAGAGUGAAAAACUCCUGGGACGGAAAUCUGACCUCUG